rnacentral:rRNA from 1 species
AGAGUGGCGCACGGGUGCGUAACGCGUAUGCAACCUACCCUAUACAGGGGGAUAGCCCGGAGAAAUCUGGAUUAAUACCCCAUAGCACUAUGUUGAGGCAUUUCGAUAUAGUUAAAGAUUCAUCGGUAUAGGAUGGGCAUGCGUCUGAUUAGCUAGUUGGCGGUGUAACGGACCACCAAGGCGACGAUCAGUAGGGGUUCUGAGAGGAAGGUCCCCCACACUGGCACUGAGAUACGGGCCAGACUCCUACGGGAGGCAGCAGUAGGGAAUAUUGGGCAAUGGACGAGAGUCUGACCCAGCCAUGCCGCGUGCAGGAAGACGGCGUUCUGCGUUGUAAACUGCUUUUAUCUGGGAAGAAAAGGCCCAUGCGUGGGACAUUGCCGGUACCAGAUGAAUAAGCACCGGCUAACUCCGUGCCAGCAGCCGCGGUAAUACGGAGGGUGCAAGCGUUGUCCGGAUUUAUUGGGUUUAAAGGGUGCGUAGGCGGCUAUUUAAGUCAGUGGUGAAAGACUCCGGCUCAACCGGAGCAGUGCCAUUGAUACUGGAUAGCUUGAGUAUUGGAGAGGUACAUGGAAUUGAUGGUGUAGCGGUGAAAUGCAUAGAUACCAUCAGGAACACCGAUAGCGAAGGCAUUGUACUGGCCAAUAACUGACGCUGAUGCACGAAAGCAUGGGGAGCGAACAGGAUUAGAUACCCUGGUAGUCCAUGCCGUAAACGAUGAUUACUCGCUGUUAUGGCUUUAUGUUGUAGCGGCCAAGCGAAAGCGUUAAGUAAUCCACCUGGGGAGUACGCCCGCAAGGGUGAAACUCAAAGGAAUUGACGGGGGUCC